UGGGGAAUAUUGUACAAUGGGCGCAAGCCUGAUGCAGCGACGCCGCGUGGGGGAUGACGGCCUUCGGGUUGUAAACUCCUUUCGCCAGGGACGAAGCGUUUUGUGACGGUACCUGGAGAAGAAGCACCGGCUAACUACGUGCCAGCAGCCGCGGUAAUACGUAGGGUGCAAGCGUUGUCCGGAAUUACUGGGCGUAAAGAGCUCGUAGGUGGUUUGUCACGUCGUCUGUGAAAUUCCGCAGCUUAACUGUGGGCGUGCAGGCGAUACGGGCUGACUUGAGUACUGUAGGGGUAACUGGAAUUCCUGGUGUAGCGGUGAAAUGCGCAGAUAUCAGGAGGAACACCGAUGGCGAAGGCAGGUUACUGGGCAGUUACUGACGCUGAGGAGCGAAAGCAUGGGUAGCAAACAGGAUUAGAUACCCUGGUAGUCCAUGCCGUAAACGGUGGGCGCUAGGUGUAGGGACCUUUUGGGGUUUCUGUGCCGUAGCUAACGCAUUAAGCGCCCCGCCUGGGGAGUACGGCCGCAAGGCUA
rnacentral:rRNA from 1 species